CCACAAAACCUCUUCCUCCAGCUGGGAUUUGGAGGGGAAAAAAAAAAAAAACCCAAAUCCUUAAAUAUUCCAGGUGAAACUGAGCUGCAAAAUCCGUGGAAAUACCUCAUGGGGCUGGGUGAGGGAAAACCUGGGAUCCCCUUCCCAAAAAUCCCUUGGGAUUGGGGGAUCCCCUUCCCAAAAAUCCCUUGGGAUUGGGGGAUCCCCUUCCCAAAAAUCCCUUGGGAUUGGGGGAUCCCCUUCCCAAAAAUCCCUUGGGAUUGGGGGAUCCCCUUCCCAAAAAUCCCUUGGGAUUGGGGGAUCCCCUUCCCAAAAAUCCCUUGGGAUUGGGGGAUCCCCUUCCCAAAAAUCCCUUGGGAUUGGGGGAUCCCCUUCCCAAAAAUCCCUUGGGAUUGGGGGAUCCCCUUCCCAAAAAUCCCUUGGGAUUGGGGGAUCCCCUUCCCAAAAAUCCCUUGGGAUUGGGGGAUCCCCUUCCCAAAAAUCCCUUGGGAUUGGGGGAUCCCCUUCCCAAAAAUCCCUUGGGAUUGGGGGAUCCCCUUCCCAAAAAUCCCUUGGGAUUGGGGGAUCCCCUUCCCAAAAAUCCCUUGGGAUUGGGGGAUCCCCUUCCCAAAAAUCCCUUGGGAUUGGGGGAUCCCCUUCCCAAAAAUCCCUUGGGAUUGGGGGAUCCCCUUCCCAAAAAUCCCUUGGGAUUGGGGGAUCCCCUUCCCAAAAAUCCCUUGGGAUUGGGGGAUCCCCUUCCCAAAAAUCCCUUGGGAUUGGGGGAUCCCCUUCCCAAAAAUCCCUUGGGAUUGGGGGAUCCCCUUCCCAAAAAUCCCUUGGGAUUGGGGGAUCCCCUUCCCAAAAAUCCCUUGGGAUUGGGGGAUCCCCUUCCCAAAAAUCCCUUGGGAUUGGGGGAUCCCCUUCCCAAAAAUCCCUUGGGAUUGGGGGAUCCCCUUCCCAAAAAUCCCUUGGGAUUGGGGGGAUCCCCUUCCCAAAUAUCCCAAAAAUCCCAAAAACCCACCCUGGGAUUCUCCCAGUGCCCCGAAAUCUCACCCUGGGGAGUUCCCAGUCCCUAAAAAUUCACCCUGGAGUGUUCCCAGUGCUCCCAGUGUCACCCUGGGGUGCUCCCAGUGCCCCAAAACUUCAUCCCCUUCCCAAAAAUCCCUUGGGAUUGGGGGAUCCCCUUCCCAAAAAUCCCUUGGGAUUGGGGGAUCCCCUUCCCAAAAAUCCCUUGGGAUUGGGGGAUCCCCUUCCCAAAAAUCCCUUGGGAUUGGGGGAUCCCCUUCCCAAAAAUCCCUUGGGAUUGGGGGAUCCCCUUCCCAAAAAUCCCUUGGGAUUGGGGGGAUCCCCUUCCCAAAUAUCCCAAAAAUCCCAAAAACCCACCCUGGGAUUCUCCCAGUGCCCCGAAAUCUCACCCUGGGGAGUUCCCAGUCCCUAAAAAUUCACCCUGGAGUGUUCCCAGUGCUCCCAGUGUCACCCUGGGGUGCUCCCAGUGUCCCAGAACUUGGUCUUGGGGUUCUCCCAGUGCUCCCAGUGCCCCAAAAUCCCACCCUGGAGUUCUCCCAGUUCCCAAAAUCUCACCUUAGGGUGUUCCCAGUCCCUAAAAUCCACUCUGGGCAGCUCCCAGUGCCACUCUGGGGCGUUCCCAGUGCUCCCAGUGCCAUCCUGGGGUUCUCCCAAUGUUCCCAGUGCCCCAAAAUCCCAUCCAGGGGUUCUCCCAGUGCUCCCAGUGCUCCCAGUGCUCCCAGUGCUCCCAGUCCAGGGCUUCACCCCAAACCCCAGGAACUUCCCAGCCUCAAUUUUGGAGGAGGAAGGAGCAGAAUUCCAGCAGGACCUCACCAGGAUUUUGGGAAUCACCUUUUGGAAUUUAGAAAAAAAAAAACAAAAACAAAAACAAAAAACCCCCCCCCCCCCCCCCCCCCCCCCCCCCCCCCCCCCCCCCCCCCCCCCCCCCCCCCCCCCCCCCCCCCCCCCCCCCCCCCCCCCCCCCCCCCCCC
ensembl:lncRNA